GACGAACGCUGGCGGCGUGCUUAACACAUGCAAGUCGAACGGAAAGGCCCUGCUUUUGUUGGUUGCUCGAGUGGCGAACGGGUGAGUAACACGUGUGUAACCUGCCCUUGACUUUGGGAUAACUCCAGGAAACUGGGGCUAAUACCGGAUAGGAUCUCCUGCUGCAUGGUGGGGGUUGGAGAGUUUCGGCGGUUGGGGAUGGACUCGCUGCUUAUCAGCUAGUUUGGGGGGUAGUGGCUUACCAAGGCUUCGACGGGUAGCCGGCCUGAGAGGGUGACCGGGGUCCUUGGGCCUGAGGUAGGGACCAGAAUGCAACGGGCGGCAGCAGUGGAAAAUAUUGCGGAACAGGGGGGAGCCAGAUGCGGAAACGCCGCGUGCGGGAUGACGGGCUUCGAGUGGUAAACAGCUUUCGAAUGUGACGAAGCGUGAGUGACGGUAAUGGGUAAAGAAGCACCGGCUAACUACGUG
rnacentral:rRNA from 1 species